rnacentral:rRNA from 1 species
GUAGCUGGUUCCCUCCGAAGUUUCUCACAGGAUAGCUGAGACUCGAUCGGGUGUGUCAAGUAAAGCGACUGAUUACGAGUGACGGGCGUGGAUAGAUGUUCGACUCGUUCUCAAACUCUGAAUUGGCACGGCGCCUCCUUGCUUGGAUGAAGGGGUAAGCGCGACCGAGAGUCUCAAGUGGGCCAGUUUUGGUAAGCAGAGCUGGCGAUGCGGGAUGAACCGAGUGUCGAGUUAAAGUGUCCAACUACACGCUCACCUAGAUCCCAGGAAGGGUGUCAGCUGAUACUGACAGCGGGGCGGUGGUCAUAGAAGUCGAAAUCCGCUAAGGAGUGCGUAACAACUCACCUGCCG